AAAAACAUACCAACACUUUCAGCAACGGAUGUCUUGGCUCCCACAACGAUGAAGAACGCAGCGAAAUGCGAUACGUCAUGCGAAUUGCAAAAUCCAGUGAGUCAUCAAAAUUUUGAACGCAACUUGCACCUCCUUCGGGAGGUAUGUCUGUUGGAGUGUCUGUUCAUCCCCACCCCG
rnacentral:rRNA from 1 species